rnacentral:rRNA from 1 species
CCUACGGGUGGCAGCAGUGAGGAAUAUUGGUCAAUGGCCGGAAGGCUGAACCAGCCAAGCCGCGUGAGGGAGGAAGGCGCAGAGCGUCGCAGACCUCUUUUGCCGGGGGACAAAAGGCCGGACGGGUCCGGUUCUGAGGGUAUCCGGACAAAAAGCAUCGGCGAACUCCGCGCCAGCAGCCGCGGUAAUACGGAGGAUGCGAGCGUUAUCCGGAUUCAUGGGGGUUAAGGGGUGCGCAGUCGGGCCUUCAAGCCGGCGGGGAAAGCGGGGGGCUCAACCCGGCCGAGCCGUCGAAACUGGGGGCCUUGAGUGCGGCGGAGGCAUGCGGAAUGCGCGGUGUAGCGGUGAAAUGCGUAGAUAUCGCGCAGAACCCAGAUUGCGAAGGCGGCGUGCCGUGCCGCCACUGACGCUGAGGCACGAAAGCGCGGGGAUCGAACAGGAUUAGAUACCCGAGUAGUC